rnacentral:rRNA from 1 species
AGGGCGACCGGCCACACUGGGACUGAGACACGGCCCAAACUCCUACGGGAGGCAGCAGUGGGGAAUAUUGCACAAUGGGCGCAAGCCUGAUGCAGCGACGCCGCGUGAGGGAUGACGGCCUUCGGGUUGUAAACCUCUUUCAGCAGGGAAGAAGCGAAAGUGACGGUACCUGCAGAAGAAGCGCCGGCUAACUACGUGCCAGCAGCCGCGGUAAUACGUAGGGCGCGAGCGUUGUCCGGAAUUAUUGGGCGUAAAGAGCUCGUAGGCGGCUUGUCGCGUCGGUUGUGAAAGCCCGGGGCUUAACCCCGGGUCUGCAUUCGAUACGGGCAGGCUAGAGUUCGGUAGGGGAGAUCGGAAUUCCUGGUGUAGCGGUGAAAUGCGCAGAUAUCAGGAGGAACACCGCUGGCGAAGGCGGAUCUCUGGGCCGAUACUGACGCUGAUGAUCGAAAGCGUGGGGAGCGAACAGGAUUAGAUACCCUGGUAGUCCACGCCGUAAACGGUGGGCACUAGGUGUGGGCGACAUUCCACGUCGUCCGUGCCGCAGCUAACGCAUUAAGUGCCCCGCCUGGGGAGUACGGCCGCAAGGCUAAAACUCAAAGGAAUUUGACGGGGGCCCGCACAAGCGGCGGAGCAUGUGGCUUAAUUCGACGCACGCGAAAAACCUUACCAGGUUUGACAUACACCGGAAAACCCUGGAGACAGGGUCCCCCUGUGUCCGUGUACUGUGGUGCA